rnacentral:piRNA from 1 species
UACCCAGCCACUUUGCUGAAGUUGUCUAU